rnacentral:rRNA from 1 species
UGGGGAAUUUUGGACAAUGGGCGCAAGCCUGAUCCAGCCAUGCCGCGUGAGGGAAGAAGGCCUUCGGGUUGUAAACCGCUUUUGUCAGGGAAGAAAUCCUUUGAGCUAAUACCUCGGGGGGAUGACGGUACCUGAAGAAUAAGCACCGGCUAACUACGUGCCAGCAGCCGCGGUAAUACGUAGGGGGCAAGCGUUAAUCGGAAUUACUGGGCGUAAAGCGUGCGCAGGCGGUUUUGUAAGACAGAGGUGAAAUCCCCGGGCUCAACCUGGGAACUGCCUUUGUGACUGCAAGGCUCGAGUGCGGCAGAGGGGGAUGGAAUUGCGAGUGUAGAAGUGAAAUUCGUAGAUAUGCGGAGGAACACCGAUGGCGAAGGCAAUCCCCUGGGCCUGCACUGACGCUCAUGCACGAAAGCGUGGGGAGCAAACA